GAAACGCAGUAGGAGGAGUGACGGGAACCGGGAGCCGGCUCCAUGCGCCUGGAGCGCGCGGGUCCCAGCGCCCAUCGGCCCGGGGUCCGAGGGGCCCGCUGCCCGGGCUCGCUGCGUGGUGCUACCGCCCCCGGGCCCGCUGCGCCGCGUCGGAGCCCCAGCAGACUUUGAGAGGCGUGUGCGACAGUGCGCGUCCUCUCCUGCCUCUGGAUGUUUCCUUGGAGCCUCUGGCCUUCGGGAAGACCGGUGCCAUCCAGAUUCCAACAGUGACUUUUAGCUCUGAGAAGUCCAAUACUACAGCCCUGGCUGAGUUCGGAAAAUACAUUCAUAAAGCCUGAUGGCCUGGUGUUGGGCCUGAUCACCCCAAAAUUUCAGGCACCCAACGUGGGGCUAUGAAGACCAUGGUAAAGAAAUGCUAGAGUAUAUGGAAAUGAAGGACAUAUCAUCAAAGGACACCCGAGGAUGGCUGAAAGAAGCUUGGUGGGUAAGCUGGGCACUCUGAAGAACCAAGUGCCACUGGGUUAGAGUCUCCCCGACCAAGCUGGUCUCAGCAAGUGGUCUCCAUCAUGGGGGCUCGAAUCCAGGUUGAAGGGUCACCAGAGUGAUGGUUGGAGAACAUGGAACUAGCUGGAGGACACCUGAGUACUCUUAAAGCAAACCCCGUGGCCAAAAUCAAUAACCAAUUUGGAUACCAUCAAGACACCUGAAACCUUAUCAUGAGCCAGAUGCUGAGGAAGAGAUUCCAGGAGGAUCCUGAGGACCCCCUGGUUGCAGCCACGUCGAGGCUGACACUGAGGAGGACCCCAACUGUCAUGAGCAACACCCGUCGAACACAGCCAUCCACCUGGGGACAAAUCAAGAAGCUGUCACAGAUGAUGGAAGAAAACCUGAGGAAAGCGGGACAACCAAUCACAAUGAGUAAUUUGGUGAUCUAUCACAGUGAUGAUCACCAUUGCCAUGAGUAUUCCUUCAACAAGGGCUGACACAGAGAACAAUUAUACUUAUUGGGCAUAUUUAUCAAUCUUGUCUGGCAAUAAUGCCUAGAUGAUUUCACUCUAUGGCACAGUUACACAUGCUUUCUGAUCUCAGUAUUUACCAUAAUAAAUCUGCUCCUAUAAUUGAGGCAUACCACCCUCAAAAACCUAUUUGUAAACAAAAUAGAACCUGGCCAGAAAUAAUGAACAACUUGUUUAGUAAGAUUGCAUUGCAGAACAGGCAGAGAUGCUACGCAAUGAUUCCUAUGGGAUCAUUGAUUGGUCCCCUAAGGGGAUGUUUAGCUUAAAUUGCACCUCUCAGUCUGCAUGCCAUGGCCACACUAGUUCAGAUGGUCUGAACAAAGUGGUCAGAUGGCAGAAAUGAUAAGAAGUAUGGCAAAAGUUCCUAUUGUCUGGAACCAUGGCAGUAUAGUGUCACCUCAACCUCAAAUGAUAUGGCUCAUUGUAGGAGCUAAACAUAAGGAUUUGUGGAAACUAUUAAUAGCUCUUAAUAAGAUCAAAAUUUGGGAAAGAAUAAAAAAAGCAUCUAGAAAGACACUCUACAAACUUGUCUUUGGAUAUUACAAAAUUAAAAGAACAAAUAUUUAAAGCAUCCCAGGUACACCUGACCUUAAUGACAGAAACUGGAGUGCUUGAAGGAGCUGCAGACAGAUUAGCAGCUAGUAACCCAUUAAAAUGGAUAAAAACACUUGGAAGCUCUGUGAUUUCAAUGAUGAUUGUGCUUUUAAUCGGUAUUGUUUGUCUUUGUAUAGUGUGCAGAUGUGGAUCCUGACUCCUGUGAGAAGUAGCUCACAGUGUCAAAGCUGCCUUUGCUUUUAUCGAUUUGCAAAUCAAAUAAGGGGGACAUAUUGGGAACAGCACCCCCCCCCCCAAAAUCUGGCCAUAAACUGGUCCCAAAACUGGCCAUAAACAAAAUCUCUGCAGCACUGACAUGUUCAUGAUGGUCUUAAUGCCCACGCUGGAAGGUUGUGGGUUUACCAGAAUGAGAGCAAGGAACACCUGGCCCACCCAGGGUGGAAAACCACUUAAAGGCAUUCUUAAACCACAAACAAUAGCAUGAGUGAUCUGUGCCUUAAGGCUGUGCUACUGCUGCAGAUAACUAGCCCAACCCAUCCCUUUAUUUCAGCCCAUCCCUUCGUUUCCCAUAAGGGAUACUUUUAAUUAAUCUAAUAUGUAUAGAAAGAAUGCUAAUGACUGGCUUGCUGUUAAUAAAUAACGUGGGUAAAUCUCUGUUGGAGGCUCUCAGCUCUGAAGGCUGUGAGACCCCGGAUUUCCCACUUCACACCUCUGUAUUUCUGUGUGUCUGUCUUUAAUUCCUUUAGCACCACUGGGUUAGGGUCUCCCCGACCGAGCUGGUCUUUGCACUUCUCACUUCUGGAUAUAGGCCUCCCUAGAGGGUUUUUUUUUUCUUUUUUGAUAGGAUCUUGCUCUUUCAUCCAGGCUGGUGUGCUGUAGUGUAUUCAUGGCUUGCUGCAGUCUUGAUCUCCCAGACUCAAGUAAUCCUCCCAUCUCAGCCUCCUGAAUAGCUAGGACCACAGGCCUGUGCCACCAUGUCUGGCUACUUUAAUUUUUUUUCCCUUAGAGACAGAGUCUCACUAUGUUGCCCAGGCUGGUCUCACAUUCCUGCACUCGUCAUCUUCCUGCCUUGGCCUUCCAAAGUGCUGAGAUUACAGGCAUGAAACACUACACCUGGCCAUCCCUGGAGUAUUUCUUCCUUCCUUCCUUCCUUGCUUCCUUCCUUCCUUUUUUCUUUUCCUCCCUCCCUCUCUCUUUCUUUCUUUGUUUCUUUUUCUCCCUUUCUUCCUUUCUUUCUUUCUUUUCUUUCUUUCUUCCUUCCUUUCUUUUUCUUUCUCUCUUUCUUUCUUCUUUCCUUCCUCCUUCCCUCCUUCCCUCCCCUCCCUCCCCCUCCCCUCCCUUCCUUCCUUCCUUCUUUCCUUCCUUCCUUCCUUUCUUCCUUCCUUCUUUCCUGUCUUAUUUCAAAACACAUGUCUUC
rnacentral:lncRNA from 10 species